CACCUGGCCACUUUCUUUUUUUGAAUAGUAACCAUCCUAAUGAGCCUGAGGGGACAUCGAGCUGUGGUUCUACUUAACUUCUGAACAGAGGGAAUACAGCAAAAACGACUGCUUCAAUGCCCACCUCUGCUCAUUCUCACAUCUGUGUCAACUUUGGGAUGGUUUUACCUUUUUUUUUUUUUGUCAUAGAGACAGGGUCUUACUAUGUUGCCCCAUCUGGUCUUGAACUCUUGGCCUCAAGUGAUCCUCCACCUCGGCUUCCCAAAGUGCUAGGAUGACAGGCGUUAGCCACCGCACCCAGCCCUGGGAUGGUUUUGAUUACAUCAUUUUUCUCAUCAUGGGUCCCGUUCUCCUGCUUUUCCCAUUGCCUGGCAGGUCCUCUUCCUUUGGACGCCAGUCCUUGUGAAUUUCACCUGGCUGGGUGCCGGGGAUUUUUGUCUUCCUGGAAAUCUUCAGCUUUGUCCUGGACGUGCGGUUAAGUGAUCUGGAGGCAGUUUGAUCCUUUCUAGUCUUGCUUUUAUGGCUUGGUAGGAGGGCUCAGAGCACAGCUCGGGCUCAGGCUGAUCGUCCCCCGCCGAGGCAAGCCCUUCCCAAGGGCUUCACCCAAGGCCCCGUGAGUUACGAGAUUUCCUGCUUGGCUGAUGGGGAGAGACACUGUCCUCAGCCCUGCAGGAGUCGGGCCCUGUUCCCUCUCAUCCUUCCGGGUGCCUUUUUACCCACCCUGGGGAGUUUCCUUAUGGGGAUCCGCAGGGCCAUGCUCUUCCAAAUACUCCAGGGGUCCCAUCCAGGUCUUCAGGGUCCCUCUCUGUGCGACCCUCUCCACUCUGGUACUGUGUCCAUGAACUCGAGCCGCCUCGGUCUGUCCAGCCUCGGGGGUCCACUGGGACCUGCGUGGGUUCCGCCUUCCCACCCACAGCCUGGACUGCCUCCCAGGGCAGUGAGCACGGGUGACUAGGGCACGGCUGUUCCCAUCACUCAGGGUUACUGUCCUCUAAUGCCUGGUGUCCCGUGUCUUGGAAGCCAUGUGUCUGCGUUUUGUCUGGUUUUGUUUUGCUUUUUGGCUGUUUCGGGUAGGAGGGUAAGUCUAUGACAUCCCGCCUCAGCUGGACGGAGAAGCUUUUCCUAGAGUAAUGGAAAUAUUCUCAAUGUGGUUUUGGAUGGUGGCUCCGCAGGGUCUGCAGUGGACACACUCGCUGACCUCAUGCAAUCCGGCGACUCUGCUGCAGAUGCUGGGACUCGUGGGCCCCCACCGUCGGGGGAGCCGGUCCCCAUAAACUCUGCCGUCGCGGGGGCCGGUCCCCGUAAACUCCACCGUCGCGGGAGCCAGUGUCUGUAAACUCCACCAUCGCGGGGGCCGGUCCCCGUAAACUCCACCGUCGCGGGGGCCGGUGUCCGUAAACUCCACAGUGCACUCACAGUGCACGCCCAGAGAGCAGCAGCAAGGGGGCUCAGCAGGUCCUUGAAGCUUCCUGUUGACUUCCUACCAGAAGAUGAGGAUCUCACUUUCCCGUCUCUCCUGGCCAGUGCAUGCCCUUCUCCCCUCCCACCUUCAAACAGACGACGGAUCCUGAAUUCUUCACACGGAUAGUCAGCACUUGCAUUAAUAUAACUCUGUAAUUGUUCACUCUUGAGCCAAGUACUAUAUGAUAAAUGCAUUUCCUUUUUAUAACUUUUUGUUUUUCCUGGAAUUCAAAGUUGCUUCCUUUUUCACUUGCUUAGUUAGAAUAUUGGUUAAGUUACUGAGGCAAAGAACCAAAACAACAGGAAUCUAAACAUGAUAGAGUUGGUUUCUCCCUCACAUGAAAGUCCCGAGGCUGAUGGGCUUCCCUGCCGCUCUCAACACGUGGCUGGCUCAGGACCAAAGGGGCUGCUCCACCUCUCACCAUCUCCCUGCCUGCAGGAGGGAGGGAAGGGUCAACAAGAGAGUGACCCUGGCCAGGCACGGUAGCUCACACCUGUAAUCCCAGCACUUUGGGAGGCCGAGGCAGGUGGAUCACAAGGUCAGGUGUUCGAGACCAGCCUGGCCAAUAUGGUGAAACCCCAACUCUACUAAAAAUACAAAAAUUAGCUAGGUGUGGGGGCGGGCACCUGUAGUCCCAGCUACUUGGGAGGCUGAGGCAAGAGAAUCACCUGAACUUGGGAGGUAGACCUUGCAGUGAGCUGAGAUCACACCAUUGCACUCCAGCCUGGGCAACCAGAGUGAAACUCUGUCUCAAAAAAAAAAAAAAGGAAUAAAAGAAAAAGUAAAUAAAAACCAACCACCUUCAAUCUGAUAAUUCUGGGCAGAAAACUGAAUAUAGUUUGGACCAGAUCUUCGAGAAAAAUUCAUAUACACCAAAUUAACUAGUUCUGUUAAAAGGCUGC
rnacentral:lncRNA from 10 species